AUUGAACGCUGGCGGAAUGCUUUACACAUGCAAGUCGAACGGCAGCACGGGUGCUUGCACCUGGUGGCGAGUGGCGAACGGGUGAGUAAUACAUCGGAACGUGCCCAGUCGUGGGGGAUAACGUAGCGAAAGCUACGCUAAUACCGCAUAUUCUGUGAGCAGGAAUGAGGGGGAUCGCAAGACCUCUUGCUUUAGGAGCGGCCGAUGUCGGAUUAGCUAGUUGGUGAGGUAAAGGCUCACCAAGGCGACGAUCCGUAGCGGGUCUGAGAGGAUGAUCCGCCACACUGGGACUGAGACACGGCCCAGACUCCUACGGGAGGCAGCAGUGGGGAAUUUUGGACAAUGGGCGCAAGCCUGAUCCAGCCAUGCCGCGUGAGUGAAGAAGGCCUCGG
rnacentral:rRNA from 1 species